UACGUAGGCAGCAAGCGUUGUUCGGAGUUACUGGGCGUAAAGGGUGUGUAGGCGGUCUUCUAAGUUUGGUGUGAAAUCCCCCGGCUCAACCGGGGAAUAGCGUCCCAAACCGCCGUGCUCGAGGGAGACAGAGGUGAGCGGAACUGAUGGUGGAGCGGUGAAAUGCGUUGAUAUCAUCAGGAACACCAGUGGCGAAAGCGGCUCACUGGGUCUUUCCUAACGCUGAGGCACGAAAGCUAGGGGAGCGAACGGG
rnacentral:rRNA from 1 species